GGACAUGGAGGAGGCCGACCUGCUGAAGGAGAGGCUCCAGGCCAUCAUGGACAAAAGAAGAAUCCAGGAAGAAAUUGCCAAGAAGAGGAGACAGAUAGAAGAAGAGAAGUUAAAACUCCAGUACAUAAAGAAGAAGGCUUUGAGGGAGCAGUGGCUGAUGGACGGUCUGAGCCAGCAGUCGGAGGAGGAGCAGGAGGCCAUGAGGCUUCAAGCUCAAGACGAACAGCAGCAGAGUGACCACCUGCAGAGCAACAU